GGUUGACCUCGGAUCAGGUAGGUA
rnacentral:rRNA from 1 species